UACGUAGGGUGCGAGCGUUAAUCGGAAUUACUGGGCGUAAAGCGUGCGCAGGCGGUCUGUUAAGACCGAUGUGAAAUCCCCGGGCUUAACCUGGGAACUGCAUUGGUGACUGGCAGGCUUUUGAGUGUGGCAGAGGGAGGUAGAAUUCCACGUGUAGCAGUGAAAAUGCGUAGAGAUGUGGAGGAAUACCGAUGGCGAAGGCAGCCUCCUGGGCCAACACUGACGCUCAUGCACAAAGCUGGG
rnacentral:rRNA from 1 species